AGCUGUUCUACCCUAUCAAGUAACCCUUUGAAUCCAUGUAGUGCAGGAUCUGCAUGAGACAAGCAUGUUACCAUCUGACAUGUGAUACGAUGGGUAUGGUACUUCUGCUUCUUACCAACCAAUACCACUUCGACGCCCAGCAAUGAACGCCACACCUAUGCCGAGAUUCCCACUUGUGACCCCCAGUAGUGUUGUGAUGCCAGAAAUUCUUCCUCUGAAGGAAAGACAAAACACCAGACACCUGAGAGCGCUACGAUCCUUCACAGAGGAAAGCGGCUGGUAUGGCUCAAUUUUCCCUAUCAGCCGAGCACCUAUGCCUUCUUUCUCAGCAAUGUUUUUCAGUUCUAUCAGUGGUGUCCAACCAAUGAGCUGGAAGGUACAGAAUUUACUUAAAAAUUGAACAUAACAAUAAUUGCACAGUAAAAGGUAUGAUGACUACAUACAGAGAAAGCAGGCAUGUACCUGUGUGAUGUUGGAUGCAAUGCACUCCCCCUGGGAGGACAGCAGAAAUGGUAUUCCUUUCCUUCCUUCCUGCACCUCCAUUUCUUUGGUACUUAUGUAGCAACAAAUAAAACUCUCUUGAACAAAUGGAUGAGUAGGAGGUGCUCCAGUGUCCAAUGAUCUGUGUAUAUAUCACUGAGGAGUUCCAUUCUGAUGGGAUACUGCAUGUAUAAAUUAACAUUUAGUUUGGAACGAAGGCGACCAAAGAUGUGGACUGAGAUCAUGGAAAUAGCCCUGAAACUUCCUUUAAGACCUUUGUUUUAAUAAAUUUGUGUUGGCAUAUGAGACAA